AUACGGAGGUUGCAAGCGUUACUCGGAAUCACUGGGCGUAAAGGAUGCGUAGGCGGAUAAUCAAGUCAAAAGUGAAAUCCCACUGCUUAACCGUGGAACUGCUUUCGAAACAGGUUCUCUAGAAUAUGGAAGAGGCAGAUGGAAUUAGUGGUGUAGGGGUAAAAUCCGUAGAGAUCACUAGGAAUACCGAUUGCGAAGGCGAUCUGCUGGGACAUUAUUGACGCUGAGGCAUGAAAGCGUGGGGAGCAAACAGGAUUAGAUACCCUAGUAGUCC
rnacentral:rRNA from 1 species